rnacentral:misc_RNA from 1 species
AAGGCAUGCCUUCUUUAUUUCCACUUUCGUGAGCACUUCCACUGGCAAAAAGCACUAUUACUCAACUUGAUAUUUGCAAAUCUACUAGAAUUUGAUAUUGGCGUAUUAUGAAGUUUUCGGAAAUAGUAUCGCUAGCUUUGAUGCUCGAACUCUUUAUUUUGCCCUGCUGUACCCGUGUCAACAUGACGCCACAAGAAAUAUGUGUUCGACACAUAUUCAUGCA